rnacentral:rRNA from 1 species
UACGUAGGUGGCAAGCGUUGUUCGGAAUUACUGGGCGUAAAGAGCUCGUAGGUGGUUUGUCGCGUUGUUCGUGAAAACUCACAGCUCAACUGUGGGCGUGCGGGCGAUACGGGCAGACUGGAGUACUGCAGGGGAGACUGGAAUUCCUGGUGUAGCGGUGGAAUGCGCAGAUAUCAGGAGGAACACCGGUGGCGAAGGCGGGUCUCUGGGCAGUAACUGACGCUGAGGAGCGAAAGCAUGGGGAGCGAACAGG